UACGUAGGGGGCAAGCGUUAUCCGGAAUUACUGGGUGUAAAGGGUGCGUAGGCGGCAUGGUAAGCCAGAUGUGAAAGCCUUGGGCUUAACCCGAGGAUUGCAUUUGGAACUAUCAAGCUAGAGUACAGGAGAGGAAAGCGGAAUUCCUAGUGUAGCGGUGAAAUGCGUAGAUAUUAGGAAGAACACCAGUGGCGAAGGCGGCUUUCUGGACUGAAACUGACGCUGAGGCACGAAAGCGUGGGGAGCGAACAGG
rnacentral:rRNA from 1 species